rnacentral:rRNA from 1 species
UACAGAGGGUGCGAGCGUUAAUCGGAAUUACUGGGCGUAAAGGGCGCGUAGGCGGUGUAUUAAGUUAGAUGUGAAAUCCCUGGGCUUAACCUAGGAACUGCAUCUAAUACUGGUACGCUAGAGUGCGGUAGAGGGUAGUGGAAUUUCCGGUGUAGCGGUGAAAUGCGUAGAUAUCGGAAGGAACACCAGUGGCGAAGGCGGCUACCUGGACUGACACUGACGCUGAGGCGCGAAAGCGUGGGGAUCAAAC